CCUACGGGAGGCUGCAGUGAGGAAUAUUGGUCAAUGGGCGAGAGCCUGAACCAGCCAAGUCGCGUGAAGGAUGACGGCCCUACUGGUUGUAAACUUCUUUUGUCAGGGAGCAAUUGGGUCCACGCGUGGGCUUAUCGAGAUUACCGGAAGAAAAAGCAUCGGCUAACUCCGUGCCAGCAGCCGCGGUAAUACGGAGGAUGCGAGCGUUAUCCGGAUUUAUUGGGUUUAAAGGGUGCGUAGGCGGAACAUCAAGUCAGCGGUAAAAAUCCGGGGCUCAACCCCGUCGGGCCGUUGAAACUGACGUUCUUGAGUUGGCGAGAAGUAUGCGGAAUGCGUGGUGUAGCGGUGAAAUGCAUAGAUAUCACGCAGAACUCCGAUUGCGAAGGCAGCAUACCGGCGCCCAACUGACGCUGAAGCACGAAAGCGUGGGUAUCGAACAGGAUUAGAUACCCCAGUAGUC
rnacentral:rRNA from 1 species